rnacentral:rRNA from 1 species
GGCAGCAUGGUCUUAGCUUGCUAAGGCUGAUGGCGACCGGCGCACGGGUGAGUAACACGUAUCCAACCUGCCGUCUACUCUUGGCCAGCCUUCUGAAAGGAAGAUUAAUACAAGAUGGCAUCAUGAGUCCGCAUGUUCACAUGAUUAAAGGUAUUCCGGUAGACGAUGGGGAUGCGUUCCAUUAGAUAGUAGGCGGGGUAACGGCCCACCUAGUCUUCGAUGGAUAGGGGUUCUGAGAGGAAGGUCCCCCACAUUGGAACUGAGACACGGUCCAAACUCCUACGGGAGGCAGCAGUGAGGAAUAUUGGUCAAUGGGCGAGAGCCUGAACCAGCCAAGUAGCGUGAAGGAUGACUGCCCUAUGGGUUGUAAACUUCUUUUAUAAAGGAAUAAAGUCGGGUAUGCAUACCCGUUUGCAUGUACUUUAUGAAUAAGGAUCGGCUAACUCCGUGCCAGCAGCCGCGGUAAUACGGAGGAUCCGAGCGUUAUCCGGAUUUAUUGGGUUUAAAGGGAGCGUAGAUGGAUGUUUAAGUCAGUUGUGAAAGUUUGCGGCUCAACCGUAAAAUUGCAGUUGAUACUGGAUAUCUUGAGUGCAGUUGAGGCAGGCGGAAUUCGUGGUGUAGCGGUGAAAUGCUUAGAUAUCACGAAGAACUCCGAUUGCGAAGGCAGCCUGCUAAGCUGCAACUGACAUUGAGG